AGUGAACGCUGGCGGUAGGCCUAACACAUGCCAGUCGAACGGCAGCACAGUAAGAGCUUGCUCUUACGGGUGGCGAGUGGCGGACGGGUGAGGAAUACAUCGGAAUCUACUUUUUCGUGGGGGAUAACGUAGGGAAACUUACGCUAAUACCGCAUACGACCUACGGGUGAAAGCAGGGGAUCUUCGGACCUUGCGCGAUUGAAUGAGCCGAUGUCGGAUUAGCUAGUUGGCGGGGUAAAGGCCCACCAAGGCGACGAUCCGUAGCUGGUCUGAGAGGAUGAUCAGCCACACUGGAACUGAGACACGGUCCAGACUCCUACGGGAGGCAGCAGUGGGGAAUAUUGGACAAUGGGCGCAAGCCUGAUCCAGCCAUACCGCGUGGGUGAAGAAGGCCUUCGGGUUGUAAAGCCCUUUUGUUGGGAAAGAAAAGCAGCAGGUUAAUACCCCGCUGUUCUGACGGUACCCAAAGAAUAAGCACCGGCUAACU
rnacentral:rRNA from 1 species